GGAAGUAAAAGUUGUAACAAGGUUUCCGUAGGUGAACCUGCGGAAGGAUCAUUAGUGAACGCCCUCGCGGGCUUAUAACUAUUCCAAACCUCUGUGAACCGUGCCCUUCGGGGCUAUUUUACAAACAUGGUGUAAUGAACGUCAUAUAUCAUAACAAAACAAAACUUUCAACAACGGAUCUCUUGGCUCUC
rnacentral:misc_RNA from 1 species